GUGCACACAUACUAAAAUGGUACAACACAGAAAGAUGAGCAUGGCACCUGUGCAAGGAAUGAUGUGCAAAUUCAUGAAGCAUUUCAAAUUUUU
ensembl:snRNA U6 U6 spliceosomal RNA